rnacentral:rRNA from 1 species
CACGGGGGGAGCAAGCGUUGUUCGGAAUCACUGGGCGUAAAGGGCGUGUAGGCGGUCAAGUAAGUGGAAUGUGAAAGCCCCCGGCUUACCCGGGGAUCUGCAUCCCAAACUGCUUGGCUUGAGUACGGGAGAGGAUAGGGGAAUUCCUGGUGUAGCGGUGAAAUGCGUAGAUAUCAGGAGGAACACCGGUGGCGAAGGCAGGUCUCUGGGCUGACACUGACGCUCAUGCACGAAAGCGUGGGGAGCAAACAGG